rnacentral:rRNA from 1 species
UACGUAGGGGGCAAGCGUUGUCCGGAAUCAUUGGGCGUAAAGAGCGUGUAGGCGGCCCGAUAAGUCCGCUGUGAAAGUCCAGGGCUCAACCCUGGGAUGCCGGUGGAUACUGUCGGGCUCGAGUCCGGAAGAGGAGUGUGGAAUUCCUGGUGUUGCGGUGAAAUGCGCAGAUAUCAGGAGGAACACCAAUGGCGAAGGCAGCACUCUGGGACGUGACUGACGCUGAGACGCGAAAGCGUGGGGAGCAAACAGG